rnacentral:rRNA from 1 species
UACGGGGGGAGCAAGCGUUGUUCGGAUUUACUGGGCGUAAAGGGCGCGUAGGCGGCCACCGCAAGUCGACUGUGAAAUCUCCGGGCUUACCCGGAAAGGUCAGCCGAUACUGCGGGGCUAGAGUGCGAGGGCAACUGGAAUCUCGGUGUAGCGGUGAAAUGCGUAGAUAUCGAGAGGAACACCUGCGGCGAAGGCGGGUUGCUGGGCUGACACUGACGCUGAUGCGCGAAGCUAGGGGAGCGAACGGG